AUACCCUAUUUCUGGUGCCAGUUGUUCAGCAGGUCAGGGAGAGGAGGGAUAUGUUGCAGCAGAGUGGAUCACUUACUCAAGACUAGCAGUUGGUGACUGGGUGUUACCUGGGCGUUACCGGCACCACAUAUACCAAGGGCAAGACACUGCUGAGCAUCUUAGCAACCAUCAAAACUCACCACCCACAAGCACCAGCAUUAUCUCCAAUACCAAGAUACAUCCAUAUGUGAAAGGUUGUCAUCCAGGAGGAGGAAUCAUCAACAAAAGAGGUUUUAUAUGAGAAGGGACACUACAGGACAACUGCCAGGGGUAGAAAACUGCUGCAAGGAGCAUAUGAACCAUGAACCAGCUGAGGAAGGAUGCUACAGGAUGACUGCCAGGGGAAGAGUACCCACCACCAAGAGCCUAUCACCUAGCAGCCCCUGGGAACUCCUGCACUGAAGAUUACAAGAAAUUACUACUAGCUACAGACUUCCAACUUAGCCCAGGGAAUUUAGAGAUGUAAUUGAAUAAAUAUAAAUCAAG